rnacentral:rRNA from 1 species
GACGAACGCUGGCGGCGUGCUUAACACAUGCAAGUCGAACGGAAAGGCCCUGCUUUUGUGGGGUGCUCGAGUGGCGAACGGGUGAGUAACACGUGAGUAACCUGCCCUUGACUUUGGGAUAACUUCAGGAAACUGGGGCUAAUACCGGAUAGGAGCUCCUGCUGCAUGGUGGGGGUUGGAAAUUUUCGGCGGGUGGGGAUGGACUCGCGGCUUAUCAGCUUGUUGGUUGGGUAGUGGCUUACCAAGGCUUUGACGGGUAGCCGGCCUGAGAGGGUGAACGGCCACAUUGGGACUGAGAUACGGCCCAGACUCCUACGGGAGGCAGCAGUGGGGAAUAUUGCACAAUGGGCGGAAGCCUGAUGCAGCAACGCCGCGUGCGGGAUGACGGCCUUCGGGUUGUAAAACGCUUUCGCCUGUGACGAAGCGUGAGUGACGGUAAUGGGUAAAGAAGCACCGGCUAACUACGUG